rnacentral:tRNA from 1 species
GGAGGGGUUCCCGAGUGGCCAAAGGGAACAGACUGUAAAUCUGUCGUCGGAAGACUUCGGAGGUUCAAAUCCUCCCCCCUCCA